UAGCAAUCAAUUGAAACUCCAGUGAAUCCGGUCCGGGAGGAGCCUGUGCUGGCCCGGAACCGGAACACGCCACGGCAGGAGGCCGAGGCAUCCACAAGCUCAUCGAGGAAAAGAACUUAAGGUUUGUACCGAAUCGUGCCAGCUACUCUUGUGCUCUUAUAUACAAAGGAAGGCCUUUAAUUGUGUUCCCUUUGCUAAUGUUUGAUCCGAUGUUGUUACUUUAGGGGGAUGAAGAGUAAGACUUGAGAACAGGGGUGAUCACCGUUACUGUGUGAUGAAGCAUGAAGUCUUGUCGGCGUGAUAUGGAGGAAGGCUGCAUUUCUGAUUUCUAUCGGAAGACUGCCCUAUUUAGCACCAUCUUUAUUAUUUAAGAAUAAAUCAUAGCUAUAAGCUAUUGUUUGUGUCAUUGAUGUGAGUCUUGAACUAGUCUGUUAAGUUUGUGGGUCAUUGUUUGCUGCAGCAGCAGCUAUCCUUUAUUUCUCUGAACCAAAGUUGUGAUGCUAUCAGUACAUUUGGACGUGCUAUUUGGUAGACACAGCUAUGUCUAUGUGUCAUUAUAUUUGAGAUAAAUCUGUGUGCUAUGUACUCUUCUUCAUGUAUGGUUGCUCAGGCGAGUGAAACGGGUGAGUGUUUCAC
rnacentral:lncRNA from 1 species